UUUUGUCACUUUUUAGUUUGAAUGCACCCGAUACCACCAGAUCUCAGAGGCUAAGCAUUGUUGAGUCUGGUUAGUACUAUGAUGGAAGACCAUGACAGGCUUUGUGUUGUAAAGC
rnacentral:rRNA from 1 species